CGGCGGACGGGUGAGUAACACGUGGAUAACCUACCUAUAAGACUGGGAUAACUUCGGGAAACCGGAGCUAAUACCGGAUAAUAUAUUGAACCGCAUGGUUCAAUAGUGAAAGACGGUUUUGCUGUCACUUAUAGAUGGAUCCGCGCCGCAUUAGCUAGUUUGUAAGGUAACGGCUUACCAAGGCAACGAUGCGUAGCCGACCUGAGAGGGUGAUCGGCCACACUGGAACUGAGACACGGUCCAGACUCCUACGGGAGGCAGCAGCG
rnacentral:rRNA from 1 species